rnacentral:misc_RNA from 1 species
GGGGAUGGGUGGAGCAGCAGGGAUUCGAAAGGGCUGGGGAGGGAACCUCUAAUUACCUAGGCGAUCUUUGCGAAGCAUGCUCCUCCCCUGGCCAUCAUGACCUUGAACUCGUCGAAGGAGAUGAGGCCGUCGCCGUUCUGGUCGACGCCCUCGAUCAUGCGGCGGCACUGCGCGACGGAGGCGGGCUCGCCGAGGCUGCGGAGGACGCGCGCGAGCUCGGCGGCGGAGAUGGCGCCGCUGCCGUCGGCGUCGAAGACGCGGAAGGCGUGGCGCAGGUCCUCCUCGACGGCGGCCGCGUCGCCGGCCACCGUGGCGUUGAGGGCCGCGAACUCGGGCAGGCUGAUGAAGCCGUCGCCGUCCGCGUCCGCCUCGGCCAUCAUGCGCGCCACCUCGUCGUCCGACGCGCCGUGGCCCAGGCUCUCGAACAGCGCCGCCAGCUCCGACCGCGAGAUCCGCCCGUCGCCGUUCGCGUCGAACUUGCGGAACACGCGCGCCAUCUCCUCCUCCGCCGUCGCCCGCUCCGGGGACCCGCUGCCGUCGCCGUCGCCCGCGGCAGGCGCCUGCUGCUGCGGCUGCGGCGGCGGCGGCUUGGAGGAGCGGCGGCGGAACAGGGACGGCACGGGCAUCCUGAUCUUGCCCAUGUCGCGUGGCGUGAGGGGGCUGCGACUGCGAGGGGGUUCGGCUGGAUCCGUCACGGCUGCGGUUUCGGUUCUGCGACGGGCGGCGUAUUUAUAGAGGCAAGGCAGAGGCAGUUCCUUUCCCAUUGCUAUCGAUCACGGAUCGCAGCCAGGGAGGGAGGCCGGGGCCCGGGGAGGAAGCUGCGGCGUCUAGCUGUUGCGCUACGAGUCCCUGCAUUGUGGGCCUGCGUUUGGGAAGCCGUAUUUGCUUCGCACCUGCCAGUGCCAGUGGGAUUGCGGAUCCCGCAAACCUGCUUGUAGUUGUAGUAUUGUAAAGGCAAUUUCCCCCCUUUGUUUGUUUCAAUAUAUAAGAUUUUAUUUGCUAGGUUACGA